rnacentral:lncRNA from 1 species
AAUAAAUUGAAAACAUAAAAGCAGAAAUAUUUACCAAUCGAUGGAAAAAUAGGAAAAUAAAAUUCAGUAAAUUUCCUAGACAAAAAGGAAAACCAGAAGACAAAAUUAAAAGUUCUACAGGAACAAUCCAGGAAGUCCAACCUCUGCUAACAGGAAUGCCAGAAACAAAGUAAACAGAGGAGAAAAAAAAUCAUCAAAGAACCUCUACAAGAAAAUUUCCUCAAACUGAAAGCCCUGUUUCCAGAGUAAAAGGGAUCACUAAAUACUAAGUUCAAAGCCUGAAAACACCCCCUCACUGAAGUAUACUUCAGCACCAGGAAAAAGAGAAUAUCCUAAAAGUUCUUAGGGAGAAAAAAAUUGUUUAUAUACAAGGAAAUGAAACUAGAAUAGCUGUGGCCACCUCAGAUGCUUCCUGUAAGCAAUGGGCCAGGCCUUCCACCUCAAAUUCAACACUCACCAAAAGUGUCCAAGAGGAACACACAUUUCAAAUAUGUAGUUUCCAUGUGUUCAUUCUUAGGAAACAACUAGAAACUAGAUCACAGUGAGUCAGUGAAACAAGACAGCCAAAAAUGCAGGACUCUGGAAACCAGAAGCCAAACAAAUAAGAGAAGCCCCAGGAUAAGGACAACACAAAGUCCCAGGGCAGCCUGGUCCUCCAGCAGACCAAAGGACCAAUCCAUCCAAAUGGGAACACACAGAUAUUUCAGAAAAGGGGGUAGGUGGUGUCUGACAGGCUUCAACAUCUGGGGAUAGGGAUGGGGGAAGUAACAAAAGUCUUAUGACCAGUCUCCUGGGACAACCUUGUGUAAGUAUAGCGACAACUAUAUGCAAGUGAGGGGGAAAGCUUAUUUUUUAAAUGUCCAAGAAAAGGCACAACCAUAACCUGUAAAUACUGACUGUUAACUGAAAACCUUCACAAUGUAGGGUGAGAGCAGGGAACAGGCCUAUGAAAAGAGGGUGGGCUAAAUCUUCACCCAUCGUAACAGGAAGUCAACAGGUUCCUCAUGGAAUGGACAAGUCAAGCAAUGGGAAAGUAUCAGGUAAAAUAUGGAGAAAGCAGAAGAAACUGCUAAGAGAAGUAUAAAAUAGUUGCUUUGGAGCCCUGAGACCAGGGAAAGGAGUUAAGUUAGUAUUAUUAUUUGUGUAGUGCUAGGGAAGGAACCCAGGGCCUGGCACAUGCUAGACAAGCACUCUACAGCUGAGCUAUAUACCCAGCCCCAGGAAAACCAUUAUAUGAGACUUUCAGUCCUAUUAAAUUUUUAACUGGGUAAAAAUGAAAAAGGUAUAUAUUUUUUAAUUCUUAAAAAUGGGAGAUCGAUCCUCUUGAUAAUUUG